rnacentral:lncRNA from 1 species
GGAGGAGUCAGAUUGAGUCGAGGUCAGCUAGAACACACUGUUUAAUAGAACUUUCUACAACAAUGAAGUGUUCUAGAUCUGUACUACCUAAUACAAUAGCCACUAGCCAUAUGUGCCUACUGAAUAUUUAAAAUAUGGCUAGUGUGACUGGGAGCUGAAGUUUCCAUUUUAUUUAGACUUAACUAGCUCAAAUUUAAAUAGCCACAUGUAACUUAUGGCUUGGUAUUGGACAGCAUAGAACAUCUAUAGAAAAUCAAAAGCAGUGGGUAAAAAAUGAGGAAUCAGAAGAAGUUGCCUGGGGACUAUAUAAUUCAGCUCUGAUGGGGAUAUACAAUGACAAACAGAGGUAAAGUUAACCUCUACCUGUGGUUCAGGAGGAGGAGCGCCCCCUGCCUUCUGUCCCUAACCUGCUCAGAACAUCAUUGACAAUGAGCUGUCCAUGCUUGAGAAGAUCUGCAGAGCCAUGAAAAUAAAGAGAACUUCACGUAUGUGUGGCUGUUGCUGGUUGUUACCAAGGUUGGAUCCUUAGGACACAGGUUUUCUUUUUUAAUGACAGGAGGAAGACUGCACACCUUCAAACUUAAGGAAGAGUGGUCUACGUUUCUGUUUUGAUAGUUCACUAGGUUAGAGCCCUAGUCUGAUUAAAGGAAGGCAAUGGGUUUCCUUAUGUGCGCAAACUGAGGGCCCAGUAGAGGAAGGUUUGGGUUUUGCAGCGUGGGUGACCAGCAGCAGAGCCCUGCAGCUCUGUAGGCAAAUCUCUGACCUCCCCAGAUUCUUCCAUCAGUAACAGGGCAUGGCCACCCUCUGGUGGAUAAAUACAAAGCCAUGUUCUGGUUCCCCAAAGCUCACUCAGGGAAGUGAGGGAGCUCUGGAUGGGACAGUUCCCAAGACCAGCCUCUACCUGCUGUGGUUCAGGUUCCUAUCUGAUAUGGUUAGACUUUGUGUCCCUGCCUAAAUUUCAUCUUGAAUUGUAAUCUCCAGGUGUUAAGGGAGAGACCUGUUGGGAGGUGAUUGGAUCAUGGGGGCAGUUUCCCCCAUGCAGUUCUUGUGAUAGCGAUGGAGUUAUCAUGAGAUCUGAUGGUUUUAUAAAUGGCAGUUUCACCUGAACUUUUCUUCUCUCUCCUGCCGCCAUGUGAAAUGUGCUUGCUUCCCCUUCUACCAUGAUUGUAAGUUUCCUGAGGCCUCCCCAGCCAUGUGGAACUGUGAGUCAAUUAAACCUCUUUCAUUUAUAAAUUACCUAGUCUUGGGUAUUUCUUUAUAGCAGUGUGAGAACAGGCUAAUACACUAUCUCUUUUCUUUAUUUUCCUUGUACA